UCCCCUAAAAAUAAUACUAAUAAUUACAGUACAGUACUCAUAAGUCACACUUUUAUUUACUCCCUAUAAGUUUGUAGCACGUACUCUCUCCGUCUUAAAAAGUCCAUUAUUAUUGACUUUUAGACACUUUAUUUCACCAUCCAUCUUAUUUAGAUUUUUUAUAUAAAUAUUAUCUAUUUUGAUAUGACUUAUUUGAUCAUUAGAGAUACUUUAGUAAUCAUUUAUCUAUUUUAGAAUUUGCUU
rnacentral:lncRNA from 1 species